AGAAAUAUUUCAUAUAUUUAAUCAACUCGGUUGCAUUACAUGGAACAAGAUAUGAAGAAGACAUUACAUGAUCUCCUAUAUAACCAUGAAAAUGACAUUCUAUAAUGUAAAUGUAAAACUAUCUUGUAGUAGCCCCGCCCUCCAUCUUUGUAUCAACAACUUACCCAUACAGCAUCUUCGUCUUCGUCGCCUUUCAUGCUGGAUGACAAGCUUCUCUAUGAACUUCCUGCAGACCCAUCCUAUGACAUUGUUAUAGGAUGAAUCACCACCACCCUGCCCAUCAUUCAGUACAGGAACUGACUGGCAAAGCGCCACUACAACAGAUUAAAUAAACAUAAUGAAAAUCCGGCAUGAGGAGAUGGAAGCCACAUGUAACACUUAAAUAUUCUGGGAUUGAUAAUUUAUCGAAGGAAGGCUCACAUCAGUUCAGUGUAUCAUAAAUUAUCAUGACAAAUCCUUGUCGUUCCUUAUCCUAG
rnacentral:lncRNA from 1 species